GUCUCUCAGUGCUAUCUUCACUGUUUGAGAAGAGUAUAUAGAAUGACCUCGGUCGAGAUUACAAACAGCUUUGGCUAGUUCAACAUUGAUGUAAACACUAAUUCGAUUGGCUGACACGUUGGUCUCUACUACGCUCGCACCGCUGGUUAUAACUUGGCGCAAAAUGUCUCGACUUAUUUUCGCGCCAUAGUUCCAAGCAGCCAAUCACAGCUUUCCAUUUCGGAAGUUCAUUGGGAGCCAUGUAAAGCCUAUAAAUAAGGUUUCUCAGAAGAAUAUUCGUCUUAGGUUUCCAGUCCUUCUCAGGGCGAACCUCUGACCACACAGAGCUCGUCUUAGGCUUUUAGUUCUUUUAAGAACUAAGUCUCUGACCACACAGAAUACUCGACCAAGUUCCAGUUUCGAGGCAGGCGACCACCAUUAAUACAAGAUGUUACAGAUACCUCUCAUACUGUUAAUGUGAAAUAUCACCAUGAAGAAAACGGUUACAAGAUAUCUAUAACUAGAGAAAAAUAACCAAGCAGAAAAUAAUGAAGAAGCAGCAAGAACCAAUCGACAAACAUCGAAGAUUUAAAUUGUACACGAGACAACUACAGAUUCAACUAUAGCGGUUAGGUGAAAUUCUCGCCACGAAGAAAACGGCUACAGUAACAUGUCUGGAAGUAUAUUCAUAUCAAGAGAAAGAUAAACACAACGAGUGAUUCAAUUAAUCUCAACUGCGACACGCAAUAUCUUGAUAUGGAAGUCUGACGCUGUACCCCUUGAAACGGUAAAUCAAUUAUCUGUUCUUGGGUUCUAGUUUCUUCUAAGAACUACCUUAAGCCAUCUGUUAUUACCUGUUGCCAAGCCGAUACCAACAACAUUAACUGUGAAUCAAAUCCCAUCGUCAAUUCACUGGUCAGUACCUUUUUACGCCUAACGAACACACAGACACAAAAACAUGCGAACACUUACAAACUUCCAACAUCAAACAUGAUUGUAAAAUAUGUAAAAUAAAUAAUGUAUAUAUCUUAAAAA